UCCACGCCGUAAACGAUGUCAACUAGCCGUUGGGUCUAUUUAUAGGCUUAGUGGCGGAGCUAACGUAUUAAGUUGACCGCCUGGGGAGUACGGCCGCAAGGUUAAAACUCAAAUGAAUUGACGGGGGCCCGCACAAGCGGUGGAGCAUGUGGUUUAAUUCGAUGCAACGCGAAGAACCUUACCUACCCUUGACAUCCAGAGAAUCUGUUAGAGAUAGUAGAGUGCCUUCGGGA
rnacentral:rRNA from 1 species